rnacentral:rRNA from 1 species
CAUAUCAAUAAGCGGAGGAAAAGAAACUAACAAGGAUUCCCCUAGUAACUGCGAGUGAAGCGGGAAAAGCUCAAAUUUAAAAUCUGGCGGUCUUUGGCCGUCCGAGUUGUAGUCUGGAGAAGCGUUUUCCGCGUUGGACCGUGUACAAGUCUCUUGGAACAGAGCGUCAUAGAGGGUGAGAAUCCCGUCUUUGACACGGACUACCAAUGCUUUGUGAUGCGCUCUCAAAGAGUCGCGUUGUUUGGGAAUGCAGCGCAAAAUGGGAGGUGAAUUCCUUCUAAAGCUAAAUAUUGGCGAGAGACCGAUAGCGAACAAGUACCGUGAGGGAAAGAUGAAAAGCACUUUGGAAAGAGAGUUAAACAGUACGUGAAAUUGCUGAAAGGGAAACGCUUGAAGUCAGUCGCGUCGUCCGGAACUCAGCCUUGCUUCGGCUUGGUGCACUUUCCGGAUGACGGGCCAGCAUCGAUUUUGACCGCUGGAAAAGGGCUGGAGGAAUGUGGCACCUUCGGGUGUGUUAUAGCCUUCAGUCGCAUACAGCGGUUGGGAUCGAGGAACGCAGCACGCCUUAUGGCUGGGGUUCGCCCACAUUCGUGCUUAGGAUGCUGGCAUAAUGGCUUUAAACGACCCGUCUUGAAACACGGACCAAGGAGUCUAACAUGCCUGCGAGUGUUUGGGUGGAAAACCCGAGCGCGUAAUGAAAGUGAAAGUUGAGACCUCUGUCGUGGAGGGCAUCGACGCCCGGACCUGAAGUUUUCUGACGGAUCCGCGGUAGAGCAUGUAUGUUGGGACCCGAAAGAUGGUGAACUAUGCCUGAAUAGGGUGAAGCCAGAGGAAACUCUGGUGGAGGCUCGUAGCGAUUCUGACGUGCAAAUCGAUCGUCAAAUUUGGGUAUAGGGGCGAAAGACUAAUCGAACCAUCUAGUAGCUGGUUCCUGCCGA